rnacentral:rRNA from 1 species
CCCNUACGGGAGGCAGCAGUAGGGAAUCUUCCGCAAUGGACGAAAGUCUGACGGAGCAACGCCGCGUGAGUGACGAAGGUUUUCGGAUCGUAAAACUCUGUUGUAAGGGAAGAACAAGCCCCAUUUAACUGAUGGGGCCCUGACGGUACCUUACCAGAAAGCCACGGCUAACUACGUGCCAGCAGCCGCGGUAAUACGUAGGUGGCAAGCGUUGUCCGGAAUUAUUGGGCGUAAAGCGCGCGCAGGCGGUCCUUUAAGUCUGAUGUGAAAGCCCACGGCUCAACCGUGGAGGGUCAUUGGAAACUGGGGGACUUGAGUGCAGAAGAGGAAAGUGGAAUUCCAUGUGUAGCGGUGAAAUGCGUAGAGAUGUGGAGGAACACCAGUGGCGAAGGCGACUUUCUGGUCUGUAACUGACGCUGAGCGCG